rnacentral:lncRNA from 1 species
GUGCAGAUGUCUCGGCUGUAUGGAGCAGCAAUGGGGGGGGACAGGACUCUCGAUUAUUUGUUCAAAGUUGCCUCUGCAGUGGACGGUCUUAGGAAGCCACGGCCAGAUUGUAGCAGACUUGCUGGGUGACCUGCUGCUGCCCAUGGCCAGUACCAACGGCCAGGACAUCCAUCGUGAGCGCAGUUCCCUCCUGUGAAAUGGCUUUGCCCUUCAUCUCCAAUGCACGCUAUUCCUUCUGAUUGUGAAUUCGUUGCAAGUAGCCUGAUGCUGAGUCUUGGGUCACCUUCCUUGGCAUCACUGUUUUGCUUUGACUGUUGCUGUAGGAGCACAUCCACGCCACACCUCGAGUGCUGGGUUCAGCUUUGGGCCCCUCAGUACCAGAAGGACAUCGAGGCCCUGGAGCAUGUCCAGAGCAGGGCUACGAAGCUGGUGAGGGGCCUGGGACACAAGUCCUGUGAGGAGCGGCUGAGGGAGCUGGGGGGGUUUGGGCUGGAGAAGAGGAGGCUCAGGGCAGACCUCAUUGCUCUCUGCAACUACCUGAAAGGAAGGAGUGGGGAGCGGGGGGUUGGCCUCUGCUCACAGGUUACUAGUGAUGGGAUUAGAGGGAACGGCCUCAAGAUGUGCCAGGGGAAAUGA